rnacentral:rRNA from 1 species
AGCGGCGGACGGGUGAGUAACGCGUGGGUAACCUGCCUCAUACAGGGGGAUAACAGUUGGAAACGGCUGCUAAUACCGCAUAAGCGCACAGUACCGCAUGGUACCGUGUGAAAAACUCCGGUGGUAUGAGAUGGACCCGCGUCUGAUUAGCUAGUUGGUGGGGUAACGGCCUACCAAGGCGACGAUCAGUAGCCGACCUGAGAGGGUGACCGGCCACAUUGGGGCUGAGACACGGCCCAA